rnacentral:rRNA from 1 species
GACGAACCGUGCGAACGUUAUUCGGAAUCAUUGGGCUUAAAGGGCGCGUAGGCGGCAGUGUAAGUUGGAAGUGAAAUCCCAUCGGCUCAACCGUGGAAUUGCUCCCAGUACUGCACUGCUCGAGGGGGAUAGGGGUCCGCGGAACUACCGGUGGAGCGGUGAAAUGUGUUGAUAUCGGUGGGAACGCCAGUGGCGAAAGCGGCGGACUUGACCCUUCCUGACGCUGAUGCGCGAAAGCUAGGGGAGCAAACGGG